AGUGAACGCUGGCGGCGUGCCUAAUACAUGCAAGUCGAACGGAGAUUAAGUAGCUUGCUAUUUACUCUUAGUGGCGCACGGGUGAGUAAUAUAUAGCUAACUUGCCCAUUACUAAGGGACAACAGUUGGAAACGACUGCUAAUACCUUAUACUCCGUAUCUAUAUAUGUAGAUACGUGGAAGUUUUUCGGUAAUGGAUAGGGCUAUAUCGUAUCAGCUCGUUGGUAAGGUAAUGGCUUACCAAGGCUAUGACGCGUGACUGGACUGAGAGGAUGAUCAGUCACAGUGGAACUGAGACACGAUACAGACACCUACGGGAGGCAGCAGUAGGGAAGAUUGCUCAAUGGAAGAAACCCUGAAGCAGCAACGCCGCGUGGAGGAGGACACUUUUCGGAGCGUAAACUCCUUUUCUUGGGAAAGAAGUAUGACGGUACCCAAGGAAGAAGCACCGGCUAACUCCGUG
rnacentral:rRNA from 1 species